rnacentral:rRNA from 1 species
AGAGUUUGAUCCUGGCUCAGAUUGAACGCUGGCGGCAGGCCUAACACAUGCAAGUCGAACGGUAACAUUUCUAGCUUGCUAGAAGAUGACGAGUGGCGGACGGGUGAGUAAUGCUUGGGAACUUGCCUUUGCGAGGGGGAUAACAGUUGGAAACGACUGCUAAUACCGCAUAAUGUCUUCGGACCAAACGGGGCUUCGGCUCCGGCGCAAAGAGAGGCCCAAGUGAGAUUAGCUAGUUGGUAAGGUAAUGGCUUACCAAGGCGACGAUCUCUAGCUGUUCUGAGAGGAAGAUCAGCCACACUGGGACUGAGACACGGCCCAGACUCCUACGGGAGGCAGCAGUGGGGAAUAUUGCACAAUGGGGGAAACCCUGAUGCAGCCAUGCCGCGUGUGUGAAGAAGGCCUUCGGGUUGUAAAGCACUUUCAGUUGUGAGGAAAAGUUAGUAGUUAAUACCUGCUAGCCGUGACGUUAACAACAGAAGAAGCACCGGCUAACUCCGUGCCAGCAGCCGCGGUAAUACGGAGGGUGCGAGCGUUAAUCGGAAUUACUGGGCGUAAAGCGCACGCAGGCGGUUUGUUAAGCUAGAUGUGAAAGCCCCGGGCUCAACCUGGGAUGGUCAUUUAGAACUGGCAGACUAGAGUCUUGGAGAGGGGAGUGGAAUUCCAGGUGUAGCGGUGAAAUGCGUAGAUAUCUGGAGGAACAUCAGUGGCGAAAGCGACUCCCUGGCCAAAGACUGACGCUCAUGUGCGAAAGUGUGGGUAGCGAACAGGAUUAGAUACCCUGGUAGUCCACACCGUAACGCUGUCUACUAGCUGUGUGUGCCUUU